GCCAUUGGGGAGGGAUCUCUUUCUGGAGAUUCCUCUUUUGUGGAGUUUCCCUUGCAAGCUUAGAUCUUCAGAGACAGGCUGUCCUAUGAUCUCCCCAACUCUCUGCACGCAAGCAGUCCUCUGGCACAUCUGAGCUGCACAUUUCCAGGUGAGAGCUGUGGGCCGUAUGAGAUCACAUACUUCAUUUGCAGGCCCAAGGAUGCUACAGAAGCCUUCCAAUUCCUUAACUGCUCUCUCAAGGACUCAUUCAUUGGAGGUCUUGUCUGUAUGCUGUGCAGGCUCCUGGGGAACAAAUCACUGCGUGCUUUAAAUGCAAUUACUUUGAAUUCUGGAGGAAAAAAAGGAUCUCAUGGUGGGAUUGGAAAAGGCAAAAGCUUAUGCUGCUCAAGAUGGGGCUUGACAGCUUCAUGAUGGAGGUUAUGAGGCAUGCCUGCCCCCUCUAACAAGGGCUGAUUUGAUAAGCAGAGACAUACCUCUAGCCCUGCCUUGCCAGUCUGACCUCUCACGCAUGCUCUUGGCUAUUGAAAGCCCUGCUGGACCCUACAUGGCACAGCUGAAGGCACCAGCAGGAAGGCAAACAGCAGCAGUGAAGCAGCUGCUCUCUCCCUGUGCUCCACAGGAACGUGUCUGCUAGAGCACAGCAGGAGGGCAUGUUCCUAACACCAAUGGAGCAGCAGUGGGCCAACAUUCCACCACAACCUCCAGGCAAGCUCCCAGUCUUCUCCUGAGCAUACUGGUGUUGUCUGUAAGGAGAAAAAUGCACACAGCUAUCUGGGUGGGAUUUAGCUUUUCUGAACCAACCGCGUCUGUGAAUAGUCUAUGUAUUCCCCUUCCAAAAAACCACUUUUCUAUCUCCACAAUGGAAUUACUCCAAAAUAGCAAUCUCCCUAUAUGAAGGUGUAAUGCUUUGGGAAAUUUCACCUUUCUACAAGGUGUUUAUUUGUCGAGUUUUAAAUCUCCUGGCUCCUGCUUUUGAAUUAAAAAAAGAAUUGUUAGCAUAUAUUCUAUCCCUCUAUUUUACAGAAAUCAAGAAAGAGAAGUGAGCUUUUUUUGCACGCAGAUUUGAAGGAAGUCCAUUCAGUCCUAAUGAAGAUAUUUUACUGCAAGCAAAACAAUGUCUGUACUUCAGACAUUCAAAACAAUUUGUUCUUGCCAAGUGCCGAAACCAGAAAGGUAACUGGAGGGAAAAAAAAAACUCACAAAGAUUAUAUAAUCUGGAUUAUUUUUUUCUUCUUUUAGAGACAGACGAGAAAUAAGAAAUGCGGCACAAAAGCACGUGAGGAUUUUUCACUUGUUUCACACGUGUUUAUGCAUACAUACAAAACAACCCCUCCACCACAGCAGUUAUAAGGAAGCAAGUUGGAUGCAUGGUCUGUAGACCAGGCAGCAUGUGCACGCUACCUAUGAAGCUGAUAAAAGUCAGCAGCAAGGCCUAAAAGACAAAAUAACCUAAAAACCCAGGCAGAAGCACAUCAGAAAUACAAGAAUAUGUCACAUCCUAAUGUUGCUUGACCCACAUUACAGGGGAAAAGAUUCUAGCGUUUCUAGUGAUUUUUAAAAGUAUCCAUUUAUGAAAAAUGCAGCCUUCAGGACACCUUGAGAUGGGAAAGACCAGGAAACUCAAACCACUGGCUGGCGUUCCCUGGAAGGAAGGAACCAAACCAGGGCUCUCCCCAAAAGGCUGUGAAGCGAAGCAGCACCUUGACCACGGAUGCUGGAAGCAGCUCGUUAAAAUUCAGCAGCCUUUGUGCCUGACCACACGCAGCGACCUCUGGUAUUUUCUGCCAAAACAGUUCAUUUGUCUCACAGAACAACUAAUCAAUUCCAGAGCCCAUCCAUCACGGGGGCUCGUGCGAGCCGGCCGGCAGCGGGGCCAGAUGGCGGCUGCGUUAGCGGGAUUAAUACAAUUCUGAUAGAUUACAUGGCAGCGGGCUGGCUUCCAAACGCCAGGGGGACAGGGAGAGGGGUGCUGGGGGUGCUGGCUGCCACCUGAGUGCCCAAUGGCCCCCUCUUCCUAACCAGCAGUGAGCCCAUGUGGUGUGCUUUGCUCCAUAGUGCUGCAGGAAAGCGUGAUGGUUUGUCAGAAAAGAGCUCUUUUCACCCUUUGGGAUGGCAGAGUGUAGCACACAGCUCAAGUGGGACCUUAGAGACACCCAAUGGAUUUAAGCUCCAUCCCAGCACACACGCUCCACACACAAGCAGCUCCUCUGCUGUGCCUGGAAAUGGAAGCAGACGUCUGGCAGAAGCAUUUGCUAUCUGCCAAGUUUGCUGGAAACAUUUGUAAACUGCGUUCCUUCUUUCUUUAUUCAUUUUUUUUUCUCCUUAAAAAAUGCUUAAAAAGAACUUUGAAGUUGAAUUUCCAGUUGUGCAGCCCUCCUGGGCACCUCCCUCAGUCCAUGUCUCAGAUUUGUAUCGGUGGCACAUCAGUCGGACUCAUCCCACUGUUUAUUUCUCAGCUCUGUGAAACUGUAAUUAUAGUUAUUUGCUCAUGGAAGAGCUCAGCCACUGCUGCUUUCAUUCUGGCAUUAAAACCAGACGUGAAGCUUUAUGCAGCAGAAAAAAACAAACCCAACACUAUACCCACCACUGCUGAGCAGCCUGAAGCCACAGAUCAUUUCCAAACCCUCCUUCAAGGGGAAUCUCCGAGUUCUACCACCAGUACCCAUUAUUUUUAUCUAAUGCUCAAAGUGAGAUAAGUGAUUUACAGAGAAACACAAAGGCAGAGCACUAUGCUAAUACAUUUUGCAACUGCUCCCCAUUAGUCACUGGGGGUACUUCAGCUCCUUAUUGCCAGGCUUUAUUAAUGACUCCUAAUUGAUGACCAGUGCCCAGCACCCCAAAGUAAAUAACUGCUAUGCCUCAUUAGCUCAAGAGACCUUCUCCUGAUUUGAGGAUUGAUCUAUGAACACGCAAAUUGCACUGAUUUAACUGAAUCUCUCUCUAAAUUGAUUUAAUUAGAUCAGUAUAACCUGUUUCAA